rnacentral:lncRNA from 1 species
GGGUGGUGAAGCAGUUGGUGGUGGCUGAGCCGGUGGUGUUUGGUUGUUAACUGGUGGAGGAGAACCAGUGGGUGUAGGUGGAGCUUGGGUAGCUGGUGUUGGAGGCGCUUGGGUAGUGGGUGUAGGUGGUGCUUGGUUAGUGGGUGUUGGAGGAGCCUGGUUAGUGGGUGUUGGUGGAGUCUGUGUAGGUGGUGCUUGAUUAGUAGGGGGUGCCUGUGUUGGUGGUGCCUGUGUAGGUGGUGCUUGGGUAGGGGGUGCCUGUGUUGGUGGUGCCUGCGUAGGUGGUGCUUGGUUAGUAGGGGGUGUCUGUGUUGGUGGUGCCUGUGUAGGUGGUGCUUGGGUAGGGGGUGUUGGAGGUGCUUGACCUCCAACCCCAGCGACGAUAAUGCAGAUCAUAAACCCCAACAAAACAGCAUUAUUCCUACCCAUCAUUUUGACAAUGGAGAGGAGGAAAUUAAAGGAAUGUGAAAGAAGAUAUCUGGUGCUGCUUGGGAAAAGAGAGGUUUGGGAAGGGAAUAUAUAAGAGAUUUUCUAAAAGAAGUAUGGUAUAUAUUUGAAGGUUGGAAAAGAAAGAGUAGAAAGGUGGCAAAUCCAAUUUGUAGUAACAGUGUGAGUUGUGACUACCAAAUACUUAUG